UGAAGGAACUAACCAUGCAGGUUUUUCUAUUGAUGAUGUUGCUAUAGAUACACUAUGUUUUCUAUACGUCUGAGAAAUGCUAUUUUAUAUUCUAGGUAGUCUGGAGCGCUAAGCUAACGGUUAGCUAAAUGCUAACGGUUAGCUAAAUGCUAUCUGUCUAGAGCUAACGGUUAGCUAAAUGCUAUCUGUCAAGAGCUAACGGUUAGCUAGCUGUCUGUCUAGAGCUAACGGUUAGCUAGCUGUCUGUCUAGAGCUAACGGUUAGCUAGCUGUCCGUCUAGAGCUAACGGUUAGCUAAAUGCUAUCUGUCAAGCGCUAACGGUUGGCUAACUCUGUCAAGCGCUAACGGUUGGCUAACUCUGUCAAGCGCUAACGGUUAGCUAGCUGUCUGUCUAGAGCUAACGGUUAGCUAGCUGUCUGUCUAGAGCUAACGGUUAGCUAGCUAAUUGUCUAGAGAUAACGGUUAGCUAACUGUCUGUCUAGAGCUAACAGUUGGCUAAAUGCUAUCUGUCAAGAGCGCUAACUGAAUUGUUUGAAUAAUGGAGGGAAUUCAGGCCGGCUGAAUCUCAAUAGUCUGAAGAUGCUUCCUCCCUUCUCUUCCUCUCGCCUCCUCACCCCUCCUUCGUCCUCACCCCUCCUCCCUCCAUCCCCCUUCAUCCCUCCUCUAUCCCUCCCUCCUUCCCUCCCUCCAUCCAUCCCUCCUCUAUCCCUACUCCCUCCCUCCUUCCAUCCCUCCAUCCCUCCUUCAUCCCUCCUUCAUCCUCCCUUCAUCCCCCUCCAUCCCUCCCUCCACCCCUCCUCUACCCCUCCUUCCAUCCCUCCAUCCCUCCUUCAUCCCUCCUCUACCCCUCCCUCCAUCCCUCCUUCAUCCCUCCUCCAUCCCUCCCUCCACCCCUCCUCUACCCCUCCCUCCAUCUCUCAUCCCUUCAACUGUGAACAUAGAGGGAUGAAGGUAUAACCUAAUGUUGAGUAGAGAGAUGCCUAACACAGUGAAGUAUACAGCAUUACCUUUCCCCAGUAUUACAUGUUAUUAACAUGAAGGAACUAACCAUGCAGGUUUUUCUAUUGAUGAUGUUGCUAUAGAUACACUAUGUUUUCUAUACGUCUGAGAAAUGCUAUUUUAUAUUCUAGGUAGUCUGGAGCGCUAAGCUAACGGUUAGCUAAAUGCUAACGGUUAGCUAAACGCUAUCUGUCUAGAGCUAACGGUUAGCUAAAUGCUAUCUGUCAAGAGCUAACGGUUAGCUAGCUGUCUGUCUAGAGCUAACGGUUAGCUAGCUGUCUGUCUAGAGCUAACGGUUAGCUAGCUGUCCGUCUAGAGCUAACUGCUAUCUGUCUAGAGCUAACGGUUAGCUAAAUGCUAUCUGUCAAGAGCUAACGGUUGGCUAACUCUGUCUAGAGCUAACGGUUGGCUAACUCUGUCUAGAGCUAACGGUUAGCUAGCUGUCUGUCUAGAGCUAACGGUUAGCUAGCUGUCUGUCUAGAGCUAACGGUUAGCUAGCUGUCUGUCUAGAGCUAACGGUUAGCUAGCUAAUUGUCUAGAGAUAACGGUUAGCUAAUUGUCUAGAGCUAACGGUUAGCUAAUUGUCUAGAGCUAACAGUUGGCUAAAUGCUAUCUGUCAAGAGCGCUAACUGAAUUGUUUGAAUAAUGGAGGGAAUUCAGGCCGGCUGAAUCUCAAUAGUCUGAAGAUGCUUCCUCCCUUCUCUUCCUCUCGCCUCCUCACCCCUCCUUCGUCUGCGCAGGAAAAACACAGGACAAGUGAAAGCGGGUAUAAAGAGUAUAUAUGAUGAGGGAAUUAGCUUUCAGGGUGACCAGGACACUUUCAGAUGAGAAGGAGGAGAAGACGAGCUGCUUUAGACUGUUGGGACGCUGUCUGGGUGAAGCAGUGUGUUCUGGGUAACAGAGGAGGACCUUGGCACAAGUCAACAAUUGAAAUGUUUUUAGGUUGAGACCCAGAGGAGACGAGACGGGUUCUACCAAACGAUCAGAGAACCUGUCACCAUAGUUAACGCUAAGCAGUAUUCUGUGGUUUGGGUCACGGGACCACAGGGGACCUCUUGUGUUAAAGGGACCUCAUUAAAGACUGUAGCAGAGCAGAGAGGAGGGUCUGUCUCCGCCCGUCUCACUAACUAACCACUCGUAGCCAUGGGAACCAGGAACAGAGUCUCUAUUUCCUGUAGAGGUGUUGCUGAAGGAGAAUGUUAAUAAAGUAUUUACUCCUAAACGGUCUGUCUGUCUGGUUACUGAACGUGGCCCUGGAGGUCUGGUGGCUUCCUGUCUGUCUGUCUGUCUGUCUGUCUGUCUGUCUGGUUACUGAACGUGGUCUAUUCUUAAAAUGUAUUAAAUUCGUUUUUUAACCCCCCCACAAUGACAUCACAAUACCCCACAAUGACAUCACAAUACCCCGUAAUGACAUCACGAUACCCCACAAUGACAUCACGAUACCCCGACAAUGACAUCACGAUACCCCGA
rnacentral:lncRNA from 1 species